CUCAUAAUGAUAACCUUUUUUAUAAUACUAUUUAGUGGGUCAAAAUGUUGCAGAUGGGAAUUAGAUGCUCAGAAUCAGAUUGUCAUAUAGCAGGGUUUACCAAACCCGGUCCUGGGGCCUUCCAUGGGAGCACGUUUUAGCUUUUGUCCUCAUCAUCAAGUAUUUACACCUAACAAUGUUAUCCCCCCUGGCAACAUUUUAUCAUCUCAUCUGACCAUUCACCUGGCAGCACACUUUACACCUAACAAUACUAUCCUCCCCCUGGUACAUUCAAUCAUCUCACCUGACCAAUUCACCUGGCAGCACUCUUUACACCUAACAAUACUAUCCUCCCCCUGGUACAUUCAAUCAUCUCACCUGACCAAUUCACCUGGCAGCACUCUUUACACCUAACAAUACUAUCCUCCCCCUGGUACAUUCAAUCAUCUCACCUGACCAAUUCACCUGGCAGCACUCUUUACACCUAACAAUACUAUCCUCCCCCUGGUACAUUCAAUCAUCUCACCUGACCAAUUCACCUGGCAGCACUCUUUACACCUAACAAUACUAUCCUCCCCCUGGUACAUUCAAUCAUCUCAUCUAAGAACCCACUUACUUGAUGACUUCAUUCCAAAACGCUCAGCUCCCGGUGGUGACCUGUGGCUCACCUGACUCACAGAACACUCGCCUCGCCUCACUGGUCCUUGUCAUUACCUGGCAACCCACUCCACUUGACAAUAGUAUGUUCAUUAUUUGACAUGUUUGACAUUUUUUUGAAUGACUUCUAGCUGGCACUUCAAUGGUAUUGUUGCACAAUGACUCAUUAUUUCUCUGUCCUCUGAUAGUAAAUGACUCGAUAAAGCAGGGGGGUGAUUUUCAAACUCUUGAGGGGUAGUCCUUUACUGUACAUAAUCACUCCAGUCUCUCUCAGUUCCCUUACUUGGUUCUGAUCAAAGCCCAUUGACAGGCACUAUCAAAAGAAAACAAGAGAGUGGGCUUAAUUGCGUCGCCGGAGAAAAACAGAUAAUCCCCUUUUAAUUACUGAGAACAAAAGGUAAAC
rnacentral:lncRNA from 13 species